GCCAGGCACAGAAAGGCAACCAUUGCAUGUUCUCAGUUAUUUGUGGGAUUUAAAAAUCAAAACAAUUAAAAUCAUGAACAUAGAGAGUUGAAGGAUGGUUACCAAAGGCUUGGAAGGGUAGUCAGGAAUUUCAGGAUGA